AAUAAAAUGGCUGAUUUUAAGCGAUAAAUUGUAAAUUUAUUUAUGAAUAAGUAUAUUCUUUUAUUA
rnacentral:tRNA from 1 species